GGUGAAUCACUCAUCAGCAGCGGGGCAGCUUUUCCCUUCCGCAAUCCCUCCACUGAAAGAAUUCCCGAGACUCCAUGACCGGCUGGAAAGCGAACGGCUUAGGGUUCCUUGAAACUCAGAGCGAAGCAGGCAGAGGGGAGGUGCAGCCCACAGGCAAGACGCAGAAAUCAGAAACACACAAACGUCAGCUCUAACCAGAAGCAGGAAUGGGAGAUAGCCACAACAAAAGAGGAGGAAUGGAGUGCAGAGAGCCAAGGCAUACCAAAUUCUUAUCACACUAUCAAUGAUCCCAAGAUGAAAGAUCUCAAGAAACACUUGAAAGUUAUUGGAUGAUGUCACAGUGAAGAUGAGAACCAGCCCUGCAAGUUGUCUCAUGAAUGGGAAAUGUUAAAUUUGUAUUGUAUUUAGUUGCUCUUAUUUAUUUCUGUAAA